GUGUCAGCCGCCGCGGUAAUACAGAGGUGGCAAGCGUUGUUCGGAAUUACUGGGCGUAAAGGGCGAGUAGGUGGCCAUCUAAGUCAGACGUGAAAUCCCCCGGCUUAACCUGGGAACUGCGUCUGAUACUGGACGGCUUGAGUAUGGGAGAGGAACGUAGAAUUCCAGGUGUAGCGGUGAAAUGCGUAGAUAUCUGGAGGAAUACCGGUGGCGAAGGCGGCGUUCUGGACCAUUACUGACACUGAAUCGCGAAAGCUAGGGGAGCAAACGGGAUUAGAUACCCCUGUAGUCC
rnacentral:rRNA from 1 species